rnacentral:piRNA from 1 species
UGAGCCACUUCAGAGUGCCUUGAUCUCUUG